GUGAACAUAGUUUAAGCAAAACCCUAGGUUGUGGUCCUAAAAAUGAAGGCUAAUAUCCUCCUGUUCACC
rnacentral:tRNA from 1 species